GGAUUAGAUACCCUGGUAGUCCACACCGUAAACGAUGAGAGCUAGUUGUCUGCAAGCAUGCUUGUAGGUGACGCAGCUAACGCAUUAAGCUCUCCGCCUGGGGAGUACGGUCGCAAGAUUAAAACUCAAAGAAAUUGACGGGGGCCCGCACAAGCGGUGGAGCAUGUGGUUUAAUUCGAAGCAACGCGCAGAACCUUACCUACCCUUGACAUGCCGGUCGCGGUUUCCAGAGAUGGAUCCCUUCAGUUCGGCUGGACCGUGCACAGGUGCUGCAUGGCUGUCGUCAGCUCGUGCCG
rnacentral:rRNA from 1 species